CCCUCCCUCCCUCCCUCCUCGAUCUCUCUCCCUCAGCCACCACGAACCCUAGCUCCCUUUCGUACGAUCCCGCGGUCGCUGCCCCUGCUCCAUCCGACCCCCCUCGUCAGCCGCCGCCGCCGCUAUGGCUCCUCCGUCCACCGACUCUGUCCGUGCAAGUGGCCAGUUUACUUCCGCCCCAACCUUCUCCACUGUCUCCCCAGUUCAUCCUUCGUCCACCCUUGCUGCUCGAGGUGCUCAUUUGCCAAGGCCUCGAGGAAGCCACGUGAGGAGGAGAGACCUCUCGAGAAGCUGCGGGAGGAGGGGCUCAACCAGAGAGGAGCAGAUGCCAGGUAGUCGGCUCGGCUGGACGCCGCCCUUCGUGUCCGGGCCGCGGCAGACCCUAGCGCCGUCCUUCAGGCGUCUUCACGGCUGCAGGUGCGCAUAUCUGCACUACAAGCUAAAGGCGCGCAAUCUGUAUAUUUUGUUCCAAUAAAGAAAUCUGGACCAUAUAGAAUGAUCAAUGAUAGGAUCCUGCUGCGUUCUAAUAAUGGAUUGUUCAAAGGAUCUGUUUAAAGACGACAGGCAUAUAUUUGUACAGAGAUCAUAUUAUGCCCAUAUGAAGUUGGUGGUUCGUGGAGACCCAAGGUGCACUGACAGAAGAUAUCCGAGGAGCAGAGGAAAAUGCAAGUUUGUAUGUGUGAAAAAUUAUUGGUUUAACUCAAGGAUGCUGAGGAAAUCCUCGAAGGCAUAAAGACCACACAGACACUUCCGUUUUUAUGGUUUUUCUUCCCAGGUGAUGGCAAGCUUCUUUGUUGCUAAUUGUGAUUUCUUUUGUACAUGGCCUCUCACCAGAGUAAGGAAAUAGACCUGCGAUGUUUCUUUCUGAUUUUCUUGGAGUUUUCAGUGGUAUUUUGAGCUUCUAGAUUGAUUGUUUCAUGAAGCAUUAUAGAUCAGACUGUCAGAUUGAUGUGUAGUUUACAGUUAUGUAUCAAGUGGAUGUGGGGCAAUCUUAUUUACCCAAGUAGCUCUUAUUUGACAAAUCACCAUCCAGUUUGCUGUAUGGCUGAUUCUGAUGCACUCAAAGUGAACAAUGAAGAAUAAUGAUUCUUCUUAUAUAAUUACAUGAUUAAUUAAACCUCAGUUCCUCAUGUUUACUUCAUGGGACUGAAAAGAUUUGUACGAAUUUAUCAAUCAUGUGUCGGCCUUCAUUUGCAUCUCAUCCUCAAAGAAAUGGGAUAUGAUUUAAUUCCAUUGGCAAAUUAUUCUGGUUAGACUUCAAGCUUGGGCCAGUAAUUUUUAUUGUGUAGAUAACAACAUGUGGACCUCCUUCAGAUUAAUGAGAAGAAAAACUCUGGGUUAAGUGGAUUUGUGAUUUAUGAUGUUCAGGUCAAGGACGUCGUGUUCUCCUGCUUGCUCUGGUUCGGACCUUUUAUGCUCUGUUUGGCCUGUAACAUGUAUUGCCUUAUUGGUUCUACAGACUAUUUUAUUUUCUUGGAGAAUAUUAUAUUCAUUGGUUGAUGGGUUGAUCUAUUUGUGUUUUGUACCACGGUUGACGGAACAUCUGAUAUUUAAAAACCAUGAAUCAGGGAUCACAGGGUUAUUAGUGCAUAUGUAACUCGGGAACAACGACAAGUUAUUUAGGUGUUGGUCAUGAAAAUACACUGGUUGAGGUGAUAAAUCUUGUUUCAUCAAUGCCCACUAUUAUUAUGAUCUCCUGCUUUGCAAAAAUAAGUUCUCCCGUAAUCUUUUUACCGAAUCCAUAAAAAACAAGUUGUGUGAUAGAGCUGUUACUGUGUGGGCCAAAAUGAAGUUUCUAUAUGCCCUACAAUACUCGCAUAAUUUCUGAUUCUAAUUGGCUUCCUGCACCAACAUCUGAUGCCUUUCUAUUGUAAAUCUUUACGAAGUUGCCAUUUGUUUUUGUGGAGAUACAAACGAGAUGUAUGACCAUGGGUGAAGGAAUGCUAUUCCAAGUUUGGUACUUCAGUUAAUUACUUAUUAUUUAUUAUUAAGUCUGUAUUAGCCUAACAGACAACAUGUGUGGGACUGAUUUUGAUGAGGCAAGUUUUUCCUAUCGUUCUUGGCUUCUUCGUCCCGUUUCUUCACGUUCUCCUACCAUAGCUUCCAUUUUUCUGUCUCAACUACUUCUAUUUGAUUGGUUCCAGGACCCGAAAUCAAUGGUUAUUGAACAAAUUAAUUACAACUCCAUUGAGGUUGAAGGUGAUCACACCUUGAUUGCUGGCGAUGAUCUGAUUCAGUCAAGAUGUGAGGAUGACAGCUUUGUGGGCGAGAGCAUGUAUGAUGAUGGCAGCUUGGUACAACGGAGCUGUUGAGCCAACUUUCCUGUAUUUCGCACAUGAGCUGAAAGAGGUCAAGUGCUAAUCGCACUGUAUGCAAAAAAAAAAAAUGCAGCUGUCAAUAUUUUUGCUAUGGUCUAUGGUUGUAAUGUUGGUGUUGUAAGAUGUUCAGCGUCUUUGAAACUUUCCGAAUUCUGGGAUUUGCUUUUUAUUAGUAACGUUGAAAUUGAACAUCUUUUUGAAGA